GACGAACGCUGGCGGCGUGCUUAACACAUGCAAGUCGAACGGAAAGGCCCUGCUUUUGUGGGGUGCUCGAGUGGCGAACGGGUGAGUAACACGUGAGUAACCUGCCCUUGACUUUGGGAUAACUUCAGGAAACUGGGGCUAAUACCGGAUAGGAGCUCCUGCUGCAUGGUGGGGGUUGGAAAGUUUCGGCGGUUGGGGAUGGACUCGCGGCUUAUCAGCUUGUUGGUGGGGUAGUGGCUUACCAAGGCUUUGACGGGUAGCCGGCCUGAGAGGGUGACCGGCGACAUUGGGACUGAGAGACGGCCCAGACUACUACGGGAGGCAGCAGUGGGGAAUAUUGCAAAAUGGGCGGAAGCCUGAUGCAGAAACGGCGCGUGCGGGAUGACGGCCUUCGGGUUGUAAACCGCUUGCGCCUGUGACGAAGAGUGAGUGACGGUAAUGGGUAAAGAAGCACCGGCUAACUACGUG
rnacentral:rRNA from 1 species